GACGAACGCUGGCGGCGCGCUUAACACAUGCAAGUCGAACGGAAAGGCCUGCUUUCCCUUGUGGAUUGCGGGUACUCGAGUGGCGGACGGGUGAGUAACACGUGAGUGAUCUGCCCCCAACUUGGGUAUAAGCCUGGGAAACUGGGUCUAAUUCCCGAUAGGACUGCAGGGUGGUGCCUGUGGUGGAAAACGAUUUUCUAGUGGUUGGGGAUGAGCUCGCGGCCUAUCAGCUUGUUGGUGGGGUAAUGGCCUACCAAGGCGGCGACGGGUAGCCGGCCUGAGAGCGUGGACGGCCACAUUGGGACUGAGAUACGGCCCAGACUCCUACGGGAGGCAGCAGUGGAGAAUAUUGCACAAUGGGCGGAAGCCUGAUGCAGCGACGCCGCGUGGGGGAUGACGGCCUUCGGGUUGUAAACUCCUUUCGACCGCGAGGAAGCCACCUGGUUGGAAGGGUGGUGACGGUAGUGGUAGAAGAAGCACCGGCUAACUACGUG
rnacentral:rRNA from 1 species